UGGGCUACAAGUGAGACUGUCUCAAAAA
rnacentral:piRNA from 1 species